UACGGGGGGAGCAAGCGUUGUUCGGAUUUACUGGGCGUAAAGGGCGCGUAGGCGGCGCAACAAGUCACUUGUGAAAUCUCCGGGCUUAACUCGGAAAGGUCAACUGAUACUGUGCGACUAGAGUGCAGAAGGGGCAACUGGAAUUCUCGGUGUAGCGGUGAAAUGCGUAGAUAUCGAGAGGAACACCUGCGGCGAAGGCGGGUUGCUGGGCUGACACUGACGCUGAUGCGCGAAAGCGUGGGGAGCAAACAGG
rnacentral:rRNA from 1 species